rnacentral:misc_RNA from 1 species
AUCGCUCCUGUGCAUACUGC